AGUGAACGCUGGCGGCGUGCUUAACACAUGCAAGUCGAACGAGAACGGGAUAUAGCUUGCUAUAUUUGUCAGCUAAGUGGCGCACGGGUGAGUAAUGUAUAGAUAACCUGCCCUCUAGCAAGGAAUAACAGUUGGAAACGACUGCUAAUGCCCUAUAUGCCUUUAAUACAUAAGUAUGCAAGGGAAACGCUUUAGUGGUAGAGGAUGGGUCUGUAUGGUAUGAGCUUGUUGGUGAGGUAAUGGCUCACCAAGGCUAUGACGCCUGACUGGGUUGAGAGGAUGAUCAGUCACACUGGAACUGAGACACGGUCCAGACUCCUACGGGAGGCAGCAGUGCAGAAUAUUGCACAAUGGACGAAAGUCUGAUGCAGCAACGCCGCGUGGAGGAUGACGCAUUUCAGUUCGUAACCUCCUUUUAUAUAGGAAGAUAAUGACGGUACUAUAUGAAUCAGCACCGGCUAACUCCGUGCCAGCCGCCGCAGUAAGAC
rnacentral:rRNA from 1 species